UAGCUCAACUGGUAGAGCAUGGCAUUACCACUGCCAGGGGUUAGGGGUUCGAUUCCCACUAUAGGGGUCACCA
rnacentral:tRNA from 1 species